UUAAACUCACAAAAAUUGAAAAUUAAAAACAACCGAUGACCUUAAAUGUCCAUUAGAGUCUUAAUUGAGGUGACAAAUUGUAUUUAAAAUAUUUUACAAUUUAGAAUAAACCAAAAAAAAAGAGAAGAACUAAUUAAAUGUAUAAUUAAUCAUAAACAAAGGAAAACAAAUUGUGAAUUCAAAGUUCACAUUGAAAUGGAACAAAAUUGUAGGCGGAUUUUUAUUAUUACCUUUUCCCUUUUUCGAUCCCUUUUGUCUAAACGUGUUUGUGGUUUUAAGAAUUAAAUUGUCACAAAAUUGAUUGUUUACUAUUUUUUUUUAAUUGUCAAUUUAAUACCAACGUGUGUGUUUUGAACUGAUCAUCUGAUUGAUAUAAAAUAAUAAUGAAUAGGAUAAGAAUUUUUGAUGAAAAAAUCAAUUGAAAUCUCCUUGGAGGUUUGAAAACAAAUGAAUCAAUGAUCACAUUUUGUUGACUGAAUUGCUUUUCUAAUUAUUGUUUUAAUUUUCUUAUUCAUUUCUAAUACGACAUUUGGUCACUAAUUAAAUUGUUUACCAAAGAGUCGCCAAUGUUUUGUUUGAUUUGUUCUUUUGUGAAACUUUUAAAUUGUAACGUUUUUAUCCUCUAAUUGUGAUUAAUUAACUUUACUUUUCUAAUUAGAUUUUAUCGAUUACGUGAUCGAAUAUCAGUGUGGGUUGGAAUCCUUGGCUUACCUGAUUUUCUUUUUUCGAAAUCCUUGAUAAAUCUUCUUUUCUCUUUGGUCUGAUUAAUAAUCUUCAUAAAGGAUCAUCAAAUUGGACAAAGUUGGAGAAUUGGUUUUGCUUGUAAACAAAAAUUAUCUUGAUUGUCUAGUAUCAAGUUUCCACAUUGGAAUAUUUUAUUAUUUCUACUUCGUUAAUUGAACCCUCGUUUAAGGUUUAAUAUCAUUUGGAUGGGUGAACCUGAAUUACGAUUUAAUCUUUAAAUCUACUAACUAUUGCAAAGAUGAAUCGUGAAUAUUUGUUAUUAUAUUACAUGAAUCUCUUUGAUUUUAGAUGAUCAUCAGUUGGCUUGUGAAUCUUGUACAUGAUUGAUUUAGAGGGAGAGAGAACUUGAAUUGGUUUGAUUUGAGAUAAAUUCAUUCAUGGUGAGUUAAUCUUUUCAAAUCUUAUGGAAUUGGGUUUGGAUUCAACGAAUUUCAAUUUUUGGAAUAAUUUUGUUUACAACCGGAAUAACAUUACGGGAUUACAAGACAACAAAGAUGCAUCAUUAUCACAGCCACAAAGAGUAAACACCGAUUACAAUUAUGUAAUUUAUUCACAUUUAAAAGACAACGUUGGUUAAUUAUUCUCUCGACAAUCUAAUUUAAUGGGAUGAUUGAUCAUUCAGAGGGAUUCAGAGAGUGAAACAAUUUAAAGAAGGAAAGUUUAAUGACGAUGAUUGAUCAAUAAUGAUGAUAAAUUGUGGAAAAUGAAACAGCAAAAUGUUGAAUAUUAUGGAAACAAUAACGUGUUAACAACAUUGUAUCAACAUUUUCCACAUCAAUGCUCCUUUUUUAAUUGUCAUAAUCCAAGACAAUGAAUUGAAUUCAAAUCGAUGCCAAAUAAUCAACAACAACGACAAUCAUAAAAUUCAUUAUUUUUCAUCUCUUAAAGAUUAACACGAGAUUAUCUCGGGACAUAGGAUUAUAAUGGAGAGAGUCAAGGAGCAAAAAAUGGAUAAAAAUAAAGAGGCGACUAAUGUACUAAUGAAUCGACAAAAAAAUUACAUAGAUAUAAAUGCAAACCUAAGCGAUCAACCAUGUUGCCAAGAAAAUUAAUCAAACACUUUGAUUGCAAUGGAAUCUGAACCUGAUUCUGUCACCAAAGAGAAAAAUAUUCAUUUUCAGAAUUUACAUGUUAUCAUGUAAAUAUCAUCAUUAAAAAAGGGAAGACAUUUUAAGUUCUCCUUUCUAAUAUCCCAACAUAUUUAUCAUCAUCAUGGAUAACAUUUCGUUGGAUUUAAUAAUCUGAGCAUCAUCUUCCUUUAGGGAAUUUGAUUUUUUUCUGUUCCUACAAUCUCAUCAACUUUUCCGAAUAUUUGUCUCAAAGAGAUAACUAUUAUCACGAGCAUCAUCAUCUUGAUCAUCAUUAUUAUUACAACCUCCGGGAGGAACGAACUUGGCAUUGUGUUAUCUUUUCCCUUUCUUUUUCCCUCUCAUCUGUGUAAUUUUGUUCGAUUUUUUAUUCUUUUCUCUCAUAAGUGUUCGUUCGUCUGGUGUUCGUUGUGUUCCUUUUACUUCCGUAACAUUAGCUGUCUCGAGGGCGAACAAUUCGCUCUCUCUCUCUCUCUCUCUCUCUCUCUCUCUCUCUCUCUCUCUUCUUUCUUUCUUUCUUUCUUUCUUUCUCUUUCUCUGCCAAAGGCUUACAUUUGCUUCAUCAGCUUGGCUCAUGAUGAACAAUCAGUCUGAUGAAUUUGCUUUUCUCUCUCGUUUUCUCCUUCUAAUUUCAAUCAAUUUUUUUUCUCUCUCGAAGAAAUUAAUUUUCUCUGAUAGCUGAUUACCUUUCACUCUCACUUUCUCUCUCAAAGAUGAUGAGAUGACAAUUCUUGGAUUGAGACUGAUAC